AGUAGUUUGAUCAGUGGCUACGAGGACGAACGCUGGCGGUGUGCUUCACACAUGCAAGUCGAACGAGGUAGCAAUACCUAGUGGCGGACGGGUGAGUAACGCGUGGGAAUCUGCCUUUAGAUGGGGGAUAACGGGUCGAAAGACUCGCUAAUACCGCAUAUGACGAAAGUUGAAAGGAGUAAUCCGUCUAAAGAUGAGCCCGCGUCCGAUUAGCUAGUUGGUAGAGUAAAAGCCUACCAAGGCGACGAUCGGUAGCUGGUCUGAGAGGAUGAUCAGCCACAAUGGGACUGAGACACGGCCCAUACUCCUACGGGAGGCAGCAGUGGGGAAUUUUACGCAAAGGGCGAAAGCCUGACGUAGCGACACCGCGUGAGCGAAGAAGCCCCUUGGGGUGUAAAGCUCUGUCAGCUGGAACGAAAAAAUGACGGUACCAGCAGAGGAAGCAUCGGCUAACUACGUG
rnacentral:rRNA from 1 species